GAUGAACGCUGGCGGCGUGCCUAAUACAUGCAAGUCGAGCGAACAGACGAGGAGCUUGCUCCUCUGACGUUAGCGGCGGACGGGUGAGUAACACGUGGAUAACCUACCUAUAAGACUGGGAUAACUUCGGGAAACCGUAGCUAAUACCGGAUAAUAUAUUGAACCGCAUGGUUCAAUAGUGAAAGACGGUUUUGCUGUCACUUAUAGAUGGAUCCGCGCCGCAUUAGCUAGUUGGUAAGGUAACGGCUUACCAAGGCAACGAUGCGUAGCCGACCUGAGAGGGUGAUCGGCCACACUGGAACUGGGACACGGUCCAGACUCCUACGGGAGGCAGCAGUAGGGAAUCUUCCGCAAUGGGCGAAAGCCUGACGGAGCAACGCCGCGUGAGUGAUGAAGGUCUUCGGAUCGUAAAACUCUGUUAUUAGGGAAGAACAAAUGUGUAAGUAACUAUGCACGUCUUGACGGUACCUAAUCAGAAAGCCACGGCUAACUACGUG
rnacentral:rRNA from 1 species